CGAUAACGAACGAGACCUUACUCUGCUAAAUAGCCAGGCUAACUUUGGUUGGUCGCCGGCUUCUUAGAGAGACUAUCAACUCAAGUUGAUGGAAGUUUGAGGCAAUAACAGGUCUGUGAUGCCCUUAGAUGUUCUGGGCCGCACGCGCGCUACACUGACAGAGCCAACGAGUUCUUUUCCUUGUUCGAAAGAAUUGGGUAAUCUUGUUAAACUCUGUCGUGCUGGGGAUAAAGCAUUGCAAUUAUUGCUUUUCAACGAGGAAUGCCUAGUAAGCGCGUGUCAUCAGCAUGCGUUGAUUACGUCCCUGACCUUUGUACACACCGCCCGUCGCUACUACCGAUUGAAUGGCU
rnacentral:rRNA from 1 species